UAGCCAUAGAAGGGUUGAAAUCUGAGUCCAAAGAAAAUUGUACACCAAGAAAAUUAUAGAUACUAUUAAUACAGAGGAUCAUCACCCAUGUUCUGCCUUCUAUGGAGGGCUGAACUGCAAGCAAUGUGUGGAAGUUACAAAGAGGCUUGAUAUCAGAAAAAACUUCGCAACAAUGAGACCUAUUCAAAAAAGAAAUGGAGGGAGCAGGCCCCUUUCUUCAAACAA